rnacentral:tRNA from 1 species
AAAAUCCGUCGACUUUCAAAAUCGUGAGGGUUCAAGUCC